GACGGACGCUGGCGGCGUGCUUAACACAUGCAAGUCGAACGGAAAGGCCCUGCUUUUGUGGGGUGCUCGAGUGGCGAACGGGUGAGUAACACGUGAGUAACCUGCCCUUGACUUUGGGAUAACUUCAGGAAACUGGGGCUAAUACCGGAUAGGAGCUCCUGCUGCAUGGUGGGGGUUGGAAAGUUUCGGCGGUUGGGGAUGGACUCGCGGCUUAUCAGCUUGCUGGUGGGGUAGUGGCUUACCAAGGCUUUGACGGGUAGCCGGCCUGAGAGGGUGACCGGCCACAUUGGGACUGAGAUACGGCCCAGACUCCUACGGGAGGCAGCAGUGGGGAAUAUUGCACAAUGGGCGGAAGCCUGAUGCAGCAACGCCGCGUGCGGGAUGACGGCCUUCGGGUUGUAAACCGCUUUCGCCUGUGACGAAGCGUGAGUGACGGUAAUGGGUAAAGAAGCACCGGCUAACUACGUG
rnacentral:rRNA from 1 species